AGAAGGAAUGCGCCGCUCGGGUCAGUGGUUACCUCCUGUACCUCGAGGCCAGUCUCACUGAGGAGUUCUGCUAUUCCCUCCUUAGCCCAGGUGAACUCAUCCCCUAUGGUGUGAUGCAUUGGAAGGUUUGCCCCACAUACCCCAGGACUACAACAGUGGUCAACAGUGCCCUCAUCAAGGACUUGCGUGAAGGGGGAGGGGUGUUGGUUGAAAGUAGAAUUUUCCUCAACCCAUCAUUUCCUAAAGGGGUUUGACUUAGGCCAACUUGUAAACCAUAGUUUACAGUGGCAGCCUUUCUCCCUGGGGAUUUGGUCUCUACCUCCUCAUACAAAUUGUACAGGCCAGACAGGAACGGACACUCGGAGCAUGUCAUCCUCAUCCGGGUGGCAAGGCCACGCCUCUCCUCAGUGUCUAGAUCCCAAGUCAGGAUACCCCGACAGUCUGGACGUCCUUGCUGGUGGAGGCGGAACACCUCGUUAAACAUGGCCACUGUCUUGCCGAGAUGUAGCAGCCUGUGCGAGUCCUGGUUUACCCUAAGAAGAGUCAGAGAAGUAUUCAUUUCUCUCAUAAAAGGUUUGGAGUGCAAAUAGUUUACAGGCAGUUACUUCCCUUAGACUUUGAGAAUUAUCAUACAACACUUACAACUGAUGUAUUUUUUAAUUUUGUUGUUUAAAUCUUCCAGAUUGGUAAUUAGUCAGAUGCAUGACCUAUUAACUGCUUGUAUCAUGCCUUAGUUUACAUAUAUCUGCAUGUAUUUACAUUUAGCAGUAGAUUUCAUGAGAAACACUCUCUGGGGAGCUAUAUUUUUCAUAUUCUCUGAUGUAACAUAUAACGAGGUGGUUCCUUUGCCAAAAAUGUCUUGAAAAUUUCAUCGAUGAUCAUUAAAUUAAUCAAAAUUUUACUUACAUGUAUAGCAUUUGAGCAUUCCGGCACUCAUUUCCACCUUCAAUUUUCAGCUUCCUGGGCGUAACAAAUGGUGGCACCAUGGCCGCGGGAGCAUUUCCUGUUUUUCUGAAGCUGAAGGAGGGUCCUUCACUAACUGAUCCAUUUCAGGAGGCAAUCUUUCAUAUG